CCAAGGCUGAGUCGGCAAACAAUCAUCUAAUCUAAAAGGCGUGCAACCUACAAUGAAAGGUGGAGUCAACAAAAAAGAACUCCCAAACUAGAUGUGGAGUGAAAGUGGACCAAGGCUUAUUAGGGUAUGAAGAAGGCCAAUUAGCCUACAUCUAUGUACUAUUCUCCUCAGUACAAUAAAAUCAUUUUAUUCAACUAUUGUCGUAAAGCAUCCUUCUGUUUUCACUUGUUUUUAUUUUUUAUUUUAUAUAUAUAUAUAUAUAUAAAAGAUUUCACUAUAUUGCCAAUUAUCUUCUUUUAAAAGAGACUCUCCUGUUUGCUUAAUGAAUUGCACGAAUUAAAAAAAAAACACAGCCCCGUUCAUCAAAAUGUCCAUUAUGAAGAUCUUCUUCCUGUUCCAGUAUAGAAAGCCAAACGUGGAGGAACUCUUGCGGCUAUAGUAUUUAAAUAUUCCAAUUUAUUAUACUUAAAAGAGUAUAGCUAUCCGGAUAUACUAUUUAAAUAUUCGAAUUUAUUACGUUUAUAGAGUAUAACAAAAAGGAUCAAUGUUACAAUAUUACCAUUAGAUCUAAAAACAGAAAUGAAACAUAACCCAUUUUCCUUUCAGCACUAAAAUUCAGACAGAACAAAGAAACCGUAAGAGACCCAGAUCAACAAAGAAUUUUCACGCAUGAUAAUCAGAUAUUGACGGAGAAAACCAAAGUUGGAUCCAUAGUAUAUAUGUGAUUGCAAAAACUCAAAUUCUUACUCUUGUCGGAUGCUGGUGAUGUCUUCACUGUUAUCAACAACUCCUGCUACUCCAUGUGGCUAUUGGGCCCCUAAGAACAGCUUCUUCUCUUUCUUUCUUUUUCUUUUUUUUGCCAAGAACAGCUUCGUCUAAAGCUACAAAACUCUCUUUCUAUUUUUCCCUUCCCAAUUUUUUUUACCAUAUUUAAUAUGUUAUUUGCAAUCGACAACUUUGUCAUUCCCUCGGCCAAAUUACCCUUGGCGAAGUUUUCGGGUCUAUAUGCUGGAACCUACAUGGUGCAAUUUCUUUUUCCUUUGUUUUUCAGUAAAGUUAACUUGACAAAAUUUUAAGAUUAAUAUAAACGUAUAGCCGGGCGGCUAUACCUUUAAAAUAAUCGAAUUUAUCAUAUUCAAACGGUAUAGCCGC
rnacentral:lncRNA from 1 species